rnacentral:rRNA from 1 species
UACGUAGGGUGCGAGCGUUGUCCGGAAUUAUUGGGCGUAAAGAGCUCGUAGGCGGUUUGUCGCGUCGGCCGUGAAAACUUGGGGCUUAACCCCAAGCCUGCGGUCGAUACGGGCAGACUUGAGUUCGGCAGGGGAGACUGGAAUUCCUGGUGUAGCGGUGGAAUGCGCAGAUAUCAGGAGGAACACCGAUGGCGAAGGCAGGUCACUGGGCCGCAACUGACGCUGAGGAGCGAAAGCAUGGGGAGCGAACAGG